ensembl:lncRNA
AGCAAAAUGUGUGAUUAUUUAACAUACCCUGCAGCUUUGAUAGUAUUGAGCCAAAUGUAAUGCUGUGUUUUGUUUCUAAACUUGGCUUUUUUUCUAUAGGGACUAUAAUUCCCUUAAGAUAGCAGUCCAUCGUAGUUAAUGAAAUUCAUUUGUUUUUUUAUUUUAAAUUUUGUGUAUGUAUGUAUUUGCACAGGAGUGCAGGUACCUAUACCCAAAGACGUCGAAUCCCAUGGAACUGAAGUCGCAGGUGUUUGUGAGGGUGCUAGGGCCCAAAGUCGAGUCUUCUGGAAGAGCAAUAAGUGCUCUGAACCGUUAAGCCAUUUCUCCCAACUCCAAAAACCCAACUCUUUAGAGAACCCACAAGUCUUUAUUCAUCUUAGGAUGGGUCUAUUUUUAGGUAUUUGUCACUAAAUAUUAGAUAAUGUAUUAGAUCCUCUAUAUGUCGCCAAGCCUCAACAAUCCACUACCAUGGCACCUCAGCAUCCUUGGAUUAUUGGAUACUUUGAAGGAAACCUAUGUUAGCAUCUCUGGCCACCUCCCUCAUCCUCAGUCAGUGACAUCUUCAUGGCUCCUGCCUGAGCCAAUACAGUUUAGAACCCACUGCAAAAGUCCACUGACGUCGAGAGAACUGCUGAGCAUGUGGAAGAGCUGGCACAUAACCGUAGAUAGAAGCAGAUAACUGGGUGUUUGCACGAGGCCAAGGUGGGUGCUUUAGCUCUUUUGUUGUUGUUUGUUUAUUUGUUUGUUUUUUCCAGACAGGAUUUCUCUCUGUAGCUUUGGCUGUCCUGAAACUCUAUCUGCAGACCAGGCUGGUCUUGAACUCAGAGAUCCACCUGCCUCUGCCUCCCAAGUGCUGGAAUUAAAGGCAUGUACCACCAUUGGUUCUUGCAGAACAACAGGAGCUAGGAGGUAGAAGGAUGAAUUUCAGGUCCCAGGUAAAGCACCAUCCGUGCUCCAGAUCUGAGAGAGCUCUUAAUCUCCUUGAGCCUGUUUCCUCAUCUGUGAAAUGAGGAUCACGGCAUUUCUCGAAUAUUUAUAUCUCAUUUUUAUGCAGAUAUCACUUCCUACUUGGUGUUCAGCGUUCAUACCUUAGAGGGCUGGGGCUGCUCACUACUCGUUACCAUGCCUGCUUUGCUUUGCUGCGGUCUAAAAGCUGAAUUAUCUUUGCUUGCCUCAGAUGCGAGGGAGGAAAACAUGUUAAAUGGGGAUCUGAGGAGAGGAGGCCUUUGAUGCUUGGGAAAAGAAAUCAAAGACUCUCCUCCAAGCUUUAUUUUGUC